GAGCUUCUCUUCAUAUGUUUUUAUCUCUUCUCAUAUAAUAUUUCUGCUAAUUGUUAGAGGUUUGUUUACUUUUUAUAUACUUUUCCUUCUCUUUCUCCUACUUAUUCUUUUCUUCUUCCCACACCAUCCCUUUAUACUUUUAACUCCUCUUCCUACUCUUUUCUUUCUUCCUCAUGUAACACUUCUGCUAACAACACACCACGGUCUAACUUAUUCCACAUAACUACCCAAAUACGUUCUCCUCUAUCCCAAUUAAUUAUCUAGCCAUUGUUUCUUUCGUUCCACUUAAUUCACAAGUAACUGUCCAAAAUAUUAAAGAGCCAUGUUCUCCUUUAUCCCAUCUAAUCAACUGACCACCCUCCUGUAUCCCAUCUAACUACCCACUCACUGUCUCUUCUAUCCUAACUAACUACUUUCCCUUAUGUUCCAUGUAACGAGGUAAUGUCUCCUUUGUCUCACCUUUCUAACAGGCAUUUUUUUUUUUUUUUUCGAAUUAGGUACCUAGUACUUCUCCUCUCUUCCACUUGAAUGGAUAAUGUCUUUCCUAUCCCAACUAAUUUACUAGGUGUACUCUCCUCCACCCAGCUAGUCUCCUCUGUUCACUCUACUUAACCACACUCAAUAGUUAGCCAGUCUCUUUCACCCGACUACUCGUAAACAAGCCGGCCACUGUCUGCUCUCUCCCACCUAAUCCAAUCUUUCCUCCAUCAAAUUAACCACCUUGCCAACAAUCAAGAUACCGCCCUCCCUAUUGUUUCCAGCCCAGUAGCAUUAAUGACGGUAAUCCCUGCCCUCUCUAGUUAUCGGUCUUUUUGUCACCAUUCCCAGUUUUAUGAAGGGCGAGGCGCGUGGCGAUGGGCGAAGCUUCCGACCAUCAGGGAUUAAAUUCAAGGGGUCAGGACAGGAAUGAGAGCGGACCUUCCAUCAGCAAGCGAGGCAAGAGAGGCGUCCUUUGCCUCGCUCAAGUAGGAUCUGCGGGGCUCACUGCACUGCCUGAGCCACGCUACCCAAGCUCUGCCCCUCCCUCGCCUUGCUUCCCCCGCCACUCAAUGGUACACACUCACCAGUUGGCAGUGCACAGUCAAUAGGGAACUUUACAGUAUUGGGAAUAUUCAUGAGUGGGGAUAGGUGCAAAUAAUAAUAUGUAGGUUUGAUUCACUCGUUUGUACAUUGAGUGCCACGUUAAGUCUGAUCAAUUUUUGUAGCUUCGCUUGUUUUAAGUAAA